rnacentral:rRNA from 1 species
GCUUGUCUCAAAGAUUAAGCCAUGCAUGUCUAAGUAUAAAUGACUUUAUACAGUGAAACUGCGAAUGGCUCAUUAAAUCAGUUAUAAUUUAUUUGAUAAUCCAACCCCCUCUUUAAAUGGAUAACUGUAGUAAUUCUAGAGCUAAUACAUGCUAAAAAUCUCGACUCACGGAGAGAUGCUUUUAUUAGAUCAAAACCAAACGGCUUCGGCCGUCUCAUUGGUGACUCUGAAUAACUUUGGGCUGAUCGUAUGGCCUUGUGCCGACGACGUUUCCUUCGAAGGUGUGCCCUAUCAACUGUCGACUGUGAUAUAGACGCUCACAGUGGUUUUGACGGGUAACGGGGAAUCAGGGUUCGAUUCCGGAGAGGGAGCCUUAAAAACGGCUACCACAUCCAAGGAAGGCAGCAGG